AGAGUUUGAUCAUGGCUCAGGAUGAACGCUAGCUACAGGCUUAACACAUGCAAGUCGAGGGGCAGCAUGGUCUUAGCUUGCUAAGACCGAUGGCGACCGGCGCACGGGUGAGUAACGCGUAUCCAACCUGCCUUACACUCUUGGACAGCCUUCUGAAAGGGAGAUUAAUACAAGAUGUUAUCAUGAGUAAGCAUUUUCACAUGAUUAAAGGUUACCGGUGUAAGAUGGGGAUGCGUUCAUUAGAUAGUAGGCGGGUAACGCCACCUAGUCUUCGAUGGAUAGGGGUUCUGAGAGGAGGUCCCCCANAUUGGAACUGAGACACGGUCCAAACUCCUACGGGAGGCA
rnacentral:rRNA from 1 species